GAGGAUGUUAAGGAUCUGAAAGAGAAUAGAUGAAGUUUUAAAAUAGCUGCUGUGGAUAACAAGAUAACCCAUCAAUCAGGGUUAAAAAUAGUUUAAGGUAGUCUCAAGUAAUGAAAAAAGUAUUUUUAUUUUUUGGUCAGAGAGACCUGCAUAGGGAUUUUGGCCUUACGUAACCAUGUGAUCAUGUGCAAGUAUGAAGAUCAAGCGAAGGAAAGUAGAUAUGUCUGGACUCAGCUGAAAGCUCGUGCUGACCUCAGCUGAUGGGAUUCAUGCAUCUGAAGACAGACUUAGGUGAGAGCCUCCCAGAAAUAAAUGCAGCAGGUUUGUGACUUUGACAGUGUGUCCUUGCCAAUUUGAACCUUCAGAUGGGACACCAGCCCUAACCAACACCUUGAUUACAAACUUGUGAGAACUUCUGAA